CAAUUCAGAAUCUAACAAAUAAUUCUCGUUCAAAUAGUGACCUUACAAAAUUGUUUGAAAAGUAAAUUCUCAAGAACCUAGUUUUGAUAAAAAAAAAUUAUAAUUUAACAUAGCCCUAAUAUGCCUGACUACAAAACUUGGUGACAAAAACCUAAACAAACUAGGGGUUUCCAUGACAAGGAAAUUAGACCAACUAGGAAACAUGAAUAAUAGCCUCAACUAAAAGAAAACUGAAAACAUGAUGAUAAACCAAAAAACCUUGGUAACAUCUUAUUAUACUGAUAUUAUGUUUACAUCCCUAUUCAAGGGGCUAGGAGCAAGAACCAAGAGAAGCUAGGAGCCAGAAAACGAAGGCUGAGUAAAGCCAAUAACAAAAACUGGAUCCAAGAUCAAUAUCAAGCCAAGUCCAAGACAGGCAAUGAUAAUUUAUUGCUUAUCUUAUGGGUCUUGUAGGACCACAUUAGUUGGGAUGGGACAGGUCUGGGGCAUAAUCCAGAUGAGCGAGCCAGUUGGUUUUCAGAAUCUGAUGGCGGAAGAAGCACAGAAGCACAUGGGCGAGAUUGGAGAGCGCAUGGGCACAACCGGUAGAGAGGAGCUGGUAGAUUGGGAAUGCUGGUGGCGAGGGAAGGUAGAUGGUGGCUUAGAGGUAGGUGCAUGGUGUACGACCAUAUCGAGAAUGUUGUUGCAAGAACGGUUGAUUGGGAGGUGAACUAAGAAAGCGCAAGUGAAAAAGUGUUUUGACCAGCCGUCACCAGCAUGCUUCGAAUGCCCUGUGCGCAACAAAAAGACUUUGGCUGCCGGCUGGGAAGCGGAAAUCAUAGAGGGCCUAGAUCUUAUGGCUUUCCUACAAAGUUUGAGGAGUAAAUUGUUAAGAACCUAGCUUUCAUUCAUAUAUUAAAAACAAAGCCCUACCAUGCCUUUAUGUAGGUUACAAAACUUGGUAACUAAUAAACCUAUCAUCCAUAGCGAGGAAAGCUACACGAACUAGGAAACAUGAAUAAUAACUAAACAGAUACUCCCUUCGUCUCACUUUGUUGUGCCCUUUUUCCUUUUUGAGAUGUCCCAAAGUGAUGUGCUUGUUUUAAAAUUUUCCAAUUUUGGAUGUUCAUAUUACCAUGUUACCCCUCAUUUCUCCCUCCCAAAUUCAAAUUUUAAACUUGAUUUGAAAGGAAAGUAGACCAAAUUGACAAGAAAGUUGACAAAAAGUCAUAAGUUCCAAAGGGGUAAAAUGGUAAAAUUGACACAAAGUUAAUGUAAUUAUAAUCUUUCCUUAAAUUACGUGGAAGUCAAAAUAGGCGCAACAAAUUGGGACGGAGGGAGUAACAUAUUAACAAUACCUAGGAAAUAUGGUAAUGUAUAUCAUACUGAUAUUUAUUUGUGUGGUGUGCGGCUCAAGGCAAGAUUCUCACUUUUGACAACUUGAUCCAAAGGGGGAGAAUUAUUGUGAAUUGGUAUUGUAUGUGCAAAAGGGAUGCGGAGACAAUCGAUUAUCUCCUAAUUCAUUGUGCGUGGGCAAGGGAGCUAUGGUGCUUGGUGUGUCUUGGUUUGGGGUGCAUUGGGUCAUGCCAAGGAAUAUUAUGGAACUUUUAAUCGCCUGGAGAGGUGUUAGAGUUGGGAAGAGUAGACGGCGUGUUUGGGCCAUGAUUCCUCUUUGCUUAAUAUGUUUUGAAGGAAUCGAGCAUUCGUUGGCUAGACUUAUGAGUCUUUUGGUGAAUAGUUUGUAUAGUUGGGAGAAAAGAGAUUGUAAUCCUUCUAUUGAUCAAUUUUUAGAUUGGUUUGCUCUUUUCUUUUCUCUCGGAGGUGUAUAGGGCCUUUUUGUCUCCGGCCUUUUUUUUAUACGGGCGGCAUUCCCUUAAUGUGUCGUUCUAAUAUAUUUAUUUACUUAUCAAAAGAA